rnacentral:rRNA from 1 species
GCUCAGGACGAACGCUGGCGGCGUGCCUAAUACAUGCAAGUCGAACGAACGGAGGAAGAGCUUGCUCUUCCAAAGUUAGUGGCGGACGGGUGAGUAACACGUGGGCAACCUGCCUGUAAGUUGGGGAUAACUCCGGGAAACCGGGGCUAAUACCGAAUGAUAAAGUGUGGCGCAUGCCACGCUUUUGAAAGAUGGUUUCGGCUAUCGCUUACAGAUGGGCCCGCGGUGCAUUAGCUAGUUGGUAGGGUAAUGGCCUACCAAGGCAACGAUGCAUAGCCGACCUGAGAGGGUGAUCGGCCACACUGGGACUGAGACACGGCCCAGACUCCUACGGGAGGCAGCAGUAGGGAAUCUUCCGCAAUGGACGAAAGUCUGACGGAGCAACGCCGCGUGUAUGAAGAAGGUUUUCGGAUCGUAAAGUACUGUUGUUAGAGAAGAACAAGGAUAAGAGUAACUGCUUGUCCCUUGACGGUAUCUAACCAGAAAGCCACGGCUAACUACGUGCCAG